rnacentral:tRNA from 12 species
GCCCAUGUGGCUCAGUGGUAGAGCACUCCCUUGGUAAGGGAGAGGUCGUGAGUCCGAUUCUCACCAUGGGCACCA